UGUAAGGAUAGUUUAUAAUAUAACCAGAUUUUAAACUCAAAAUAUUAUAUAAUGGACCAAUUUGAGUUUGUUUGCUUAACAAAGUUGUGAUGGCAAACGGUCACCAUCACCCUAGACCAAUGUUAUUCCUUACAUUGUCAUGUACUGUCUUGUGCCUGUAGUUACACGGGCUCAUUAUGGACUAAUUUGGGUGGUAGCUCGUAGGUCUGCUUGAAUGCAGAUUACUGAUGGUAGGGCUUUUUGCAAGCUCGGCUCAAGUACCACACACUUAUCAGAUAUUCUACCGCAAAACAGCAGUACUCGGUAUUCUUAUGUUUCGGUUUGAAGGGUGAGUGAGCCAGUGUAAUUACAGGCACAAGGGACAUAACUUGUUAAUUCCCAAGCUUGGUGACGCAUUUUCGAUGUAAGUGAUGCAUAACGUUUCUUACAAUGCCAAUGUCUAUGGGCGUUGGUGACCACUUACCAUCAGGUGGCCCAUAUGCUCGUCCGUAAACCUAUACUAUAAAAAAACCGGUUCGUAAUGUAGAUUUAAAAACCGGCAAGAAAAUCAGUUACUGUUUCAACCAUUUCAAAUAUAUCAUAAUCAUCUAUUUAAUCUUAGGUAAUACACAUUAUUUGCUUAUGUAUUUAAAAAAAAUCACAUAAUUAAAUUAUAUAGCUAUAUACAUAGCCUAUGUCCUUUCUCGGGGCUUAAAUUUGCUUCAUAAGAAAUUUCAUCAAAUUCGGUUCAGUAGUUUAGCAGUGAAAGCGUAACAGACAAACAGAAUUUAGCAUUUAUAAUAUUAGGAUAUAUUGAUGCAUUACAUCGAAUCUUACUUUCUUAUAGAUUGUUUUUUUUUUUUUGUAUUAACCGUAGGAUUACAGAUUAUAAAAGCAUGUAUGUAUAUCGAUUUGUUACAGUGUGUAACGGGAAACGUUUGUCAAUUAUAAAAGUUUUUGAACGUUGUUCUUUGUUUACAUUUUGUAUCAAUUAUAAUAGAGAAACUAAAUAUUAUCAAAAUUGUAAAUCGAACUAUACAGUCGAUAUGAGCACUCGUUUUUUUUGUUUUGGAAAAUCAUCCUAUUAUUGUGCUAUGAAACGAAUCAUACAUGUUUUCAAUCGAACAGCAAGAGAAGUAAACAUUUUUUAAUUAAACUGUCCAAAGUGCCCGAUUGUUUUUUUAAAUAGCGAAUACUUAAUUUUAAACUCAUCGAAAAUAUUAACAUAUCGGAAUUGUAAUGAAAACCCCAUAGGUAUGAUGCCCAAAGCGAUUUAUCAAUUAAAAUAAGCUGUCAUUCAAUCAUUCAUUCAUUCGAUCGUGAACUGAUCUUAAUCGUGUUUUCUAAAGGGGAAAGGGGAUCUAAAAAAAGCCCUUUGAUAUCGGCACUAUUUCUUUCAGAAUUUUAUUCAUAUCGGUAGCUAUUUAUUUCGUUAUACAUAGCAUUUAAAUAUAAAAAAAUAUAUUAGUUUGGAGUAUAUAUAUGUGUGUAACGCUGCGAUCACACUUAUGUCUCGGUUGCGUAAUUGUGACGCAACUCUAAUCGGUCCAACCUCGCUCGGACAAGCGUUUAAUACCUUUAGAGUUAAUAGUGGAUAAUUCCAAAUGUAUCGUUUAUGUAAUCACAAUUUGUAUAUAAAUUGGUGUAUUUAAAGCUUAUUCUUAAAUAUAUAAUAACAAACAUCUAUGUAACUUGUUUGUAUAACGUCGAUUGUGACGCCAAUCUUUCGAUAGUUUAAUCAUUUAAUGUUAUUAAACUUAAGUCUCGUGGUCGAUUACACGCAAAUGUCUGACUGCAGUCUUAUUUAUAUAAUAUUAUAUUGUAUCAAAUAUACUUAAAACACAAAUUCAUACACAGAUUUUAAAUCACAGUUUUCUUUUAAUAAAACAACUGAUCUUCUUGCUUAGUUUUGGUAUAUCUGUGUUUUAAAAUGGCGUCCUAUCGUUUGAUAAAUAACGUGACUAAAAUUUAAUGUCUCAUAGAUAAUUAACUUCAUACAAUAUCAUUUGAUAAUCGAAUGAUUUAAUAAUAACCAGACUUGGGCAUAAUGUAAUCAGUAUAACGAUUAACGAUUACAAUAUGUAAUCAUCAAUCACGAUUACAGAUUAACUUUGAUUAUGAAGAGGUCGCGCGGAGUUUGACUCGCUCACUCUACUUUUUUUUAUUACAUUCGUUAUAAUGUAAUCGUGAUUAAAUUUUAAAUAUUUUAAUCGUAAUCGUUAAUCAGAUUAUAUUUGUCCAAGCCUGAUAAUAACAUUUAUGUUAGAACAACUGUUGCGAAUUGAUUGCUUAUCAGAUGAUAUUAAUUGAUAUGGAACGAUUUUCCCCUGUCAGACGUUAUUUGUCAAACAUUUAGAAUCGUUUAAAAUAAAAUCACAAAUGUUGCCGUAUUUUAUUUAGGUUAACGCAAAAAUACUUAAAAUAUUUUAAUCUCGUCUUAACGGUUGUAAAGAAUGAAAUUGGCGUAUUAAUAUUGACAAAUAAAACUGGUCGUUAGCAAGUAGCUAUAACAUAUUUAUAAAAUAUGUUACAAUUAUUAUUAUAUAACAUAAGCAUUUAAUGCGUUUAUGUAAUUGCAAUUGUUUAAUUGUAAAAACGCAAUGAUGUAAUUGCGUUUUUACAAUUAUAUAAUUGUAAAUGAACUUUCGUGUAAUUGUAAUAAUUACAAAUGUGUAAUGGAGUAAAUGUAAUAAUCGUAAUGUCGGUGAUAACUGUUGUGAUUUAAGAAUGUUUUGUAUGUCUGUAUUUUAACGAUUAAUUGUAAUAAUUUAUUGUAAAAUUAAUUUAUAUUACAAAUGAUAAACGAU